rnacentral:rRNA from 1 species
CCUACGGGGUGCAGCAGUGGUGGAUAUUGCACAAUGGGGGAAACCCUGAUGCAGCGACGCCGCGUGUGGGAAGACGGUCCUCUGGAUUGUAAACCACUGUCCCCAGGGACGAAGAUGACGGUACCUGGGGAGGAAGCUCCGGCUAACUACGUGCCAGCAGCCGCGGUAAUACGUAGGGAGCGAGCGUUGUCCGGAAUUACUGGGUGUAAGGGGAGCGUAGGCGGGACUGCAAGUUGGGUGUCAAAUCUACCGGCUCAACCGGUAGCCGCACUCAAAACUGCAGUUCUUGAGUGAAGUAGAGGCAGGCGGAAUUCCUAGUGUAGCGGUGAAAUGCGUAGAUAUUAGGAGGAACACCAGUGGCGAAGGCGGCCUGCUGGGCUUUUACUGACGCUGAGGCUCGAAAGUGUGGGGAGCAAACAGGAUUAGAUACCCCAGUAGUC